rnacentral:rRNA from 1 species
AUUAACGCUAGCGGCAGGCAUAAUACAUGCAAGUUGAACGGCAGCACAGGUAGCAAUACCGGGUGGCGAGUGGCGCACGGGUGCGUAACACGUAUGCAACCUACCCUAUACAGGCGAAUAACCUUUAGAAAUGAGGGCUAAUACGCCGUGGUAUUAUCUUGGGGCAUCUUGAGAUAAUUAAAGAUUUAUCGGUAUAGGAUGGGCAUGCGUCCCAUUAGUUAGUUGGUAGGGUAACGGCCUACCAAGGCUAUGAUGGGUAGG